GUUUCCGUAGUGUAGUGGUUAUCAGUUAUCACGUGUACUUCACACGCACAAGGUCGCCGGUUCAAUCCCGGGCGGAAACA